rnacentral:rRNA from 1 species
AGUGAACGCUGGCGGUAGGCCUAACACAUGCAAGUCGAACGAGGGGCGGACGGGUGAGGAAUACAUCGGAAUCUACUCUGUGGUGGGGGAUCACGUAGGGAAACUUACGCUAAUACCGCAUACGAUUGAAUUAGCCGAUGUCGGAUGAGCGAGUUGGCGGGGUAAAGGCCCAACAAGGCGACGAGCCGUAGCUGGUAUGAGAGGAUGAUCAGCCAGACUGGAACUGAGACACGGUCCAGACUCCUACGGGAGGGAGCCGUGGGGAAUAUUGGACAAUGGGCGGAAGCCUGAUCCAGCCAUACCGCGUGUGUGAAGAAGGCCUUCGGGUUGUAAAGCCCUGUUGUUGGGAAAGCGGUACCAAAAGAAUAAGCACCGGCUAACUUCGUGCCAGCAGCCGCGGUAAUUC